rnacentral:rRNA from 3 species
UAGACCGCCUGGGGAGUACGGCCGCAAGGUUAAAACUCAAAUGAAUUGACGGGGGCCCGCACAAGCGGUGGAGCAUGUGGUUUAAUUCGAUGCAACGCGAAGAACCUUACCUGGUCUUGACAUCCACAGAACUUUCCAGAGAUGGAUUGGUGCCUUCGGGAACUGUGAGACAGGUGCUGCAUGGCUGUCGUCAGCUCGUGUUGUGAAAUGUUGGGUUAAGUCCCGCAACGAGCGCAACCCUUAUCCUUUGUUGCCAGCGAUUAGGUCGGGAACUCAAAGGAGACUGCCAGU